rnacentral:lncRNA from 1 species
UGAAUCUUAGAAAUGACACAUUGAAUGAAGAGCUUUGCAGUGUCUCCUUUUCCAGACUUCUUAGAGGACUUGGAAAGAAAAUGAAAUGACGUUGAACGAAAUCAAAGUAAAUUGAGUGAUCUGAAACGAUUUGAUGUCAGCAAGAAUUCCCCAUACAGCUCACAGCCCUACCCCGAGCACGCCUCCCUCUUGGGUAUGCUCUCUGCAGGCCCAAACCUUGCAGAAGCCAUUCCAUGUUUCCUGAGCAGGAAAAGACAAACUCAGACCGACAACCUUGGACUUCAAAAGACUGCACACAAGGGGAGGAAGGACUGAGAGUACCAAGGCGUGAGAAUUCAGAAUGCUGCUAUCUCAUUUAUUUUUACCAUUUAGGAAACGUUUUGAUCUGCAUUCCUUUUCCCUUCCCUGAUUUCAAAAAAUAAAAAUAAAAAUGCUUCGGUUCUGAGGAGUAACUCUCCAGAUGGAAGGGGAAGAUCAGGGGAUGAAUGGGGGAGGGCUGCUUGCGUCCUCUCCCCUGCCACACACACGCUCUCUGUUUCAGCCAGUGUAAAAAUAGCCGCCCAGGUUUAUGUAUUCAUCCCUAAGCUGCAAUGAAGCGCCUGCCUCCCGGCCAGAGUCCGCUGCCUUUUAGUAGCUUAUAACAUCAGGUGACGCCUCCAGCCCUCCCAUUCCCCGCCCCAGCCCGGAUAAACGUCCUCCGUGACCUUAGAAGUUUUCAGUUUAAUCAGCGGUAUCGUUUUUGAGAGGAAAAUCCUCCCAGCUUUGCGGGCUGGCAGGGCUCUGGGGCCCUCCCCUGCCUCCCAGCCCAGGCCGCAGAGCGAGAGCGUUUCCAUCUGUGCUGCGAGCGGGAAGAGCCUCUCUGUGCUCCCCGGCACGUCCAGCGCGCGGGCGGGAACACGCUCUCCUGUGGGGGGCAGCUUUCCCAGGGACCUUGCCUAACGAGGGCCAGGCGGCUCCCCCGUGGGCCCCGAAUGGCUCCUGGCAGGCAGACCCCUAUCCCUGUCGAGAGCACUGAUUUCCCCAGCGUCGGGGGAGGCAGCCGCGCCCUCCUGGAGCGAGGCAAUCCAGCGGUCAGGCGGCGGCGAGGGCCUGCGCGUGCGCAGAAAAGAGCUGCCUCCGCGCCAGGCAAGGGGCGCGAGGGCGGAGGAUGGAGGGCGAGGGCGCAUGCGUCAGCCGUGCCGCUGGGGCCGCGUAGGAGAGCUGAGCUGCUGGGUCCUGCCGUCAGUGCAGUUUCUUGGCAGCACGUUGGGGACACUGCGCCAUGAGAACAGAGCCACAGAAUGUUAAAGGCACAGCCUCCUUCGAGGGCAUUUGCAUAAUGCCUCCCGUUUACAGAUGAGGAAAUUGAGGCCCAAAGAGGUGAUGGGAAAGGCCCAAAGCUGCAUUUCUGGCUUCUGGCAGCUGGGACCAGAUCCAGCUCGUAUUGACAUGGUUUAAGCACUUCUUCAAUGAGCACUUAUCAAAAGCCUAGAUACUGUGUACUCAGUGUCUUGAGUGGCAGCGAAAGAUAACCACGAAUACGUCAGAAGCAGUGUAGCCACGGCUGCCCUGGAUUUGGGCAUAGAAUCAGACAGACCUGGGUUUGAUAUGAUGAUUUCCAGAACCACACUACUAGUUGGAUGGCCUUAGUGAAGCAGUUAACCGCUCCAUGCCCUAGCUUUCUGGUCUGCAAAACGGAGAUAAAAAUAGGCUAGGGUCGUGGGAUUUAAAUGAGAUAAGGUGCACAUUGUUUAGCACAGUGCCUGCGCAUGGAAGGCUCUCAAAUAAAUAUUCGUGCAAUGUUUUGAGAAGUAGAAAGUGCUAGGCACGUAGGCGUUCAGGAGACAGUCACGGUACUCGUUUCCAGACAGAAGUCAUGAGGAACAAGAGGGAAGGUGCUUUCCCGUGUGCAGCGCUUGGGGAGACUCACACAGACAGAGGAUCUGGCAUGACAGGGAAAGGAGGAAAUGGCUUCUGUUAAUCUCUCCUUCAGCUUCUCCCGCCCUUCCCAUGCACUCUUCCUGUUUCCCUUUCCAGUUCUCACGGUGACUCAAGGAACAACGUGUGAAAUGAAAGACCUCAGGUGCUGUAUUGGCUCUUGACAGCUCUUCAGAAGAAAAUACCUCCUGCCUGUUCUGUUCAGUCCUGGUGCAGGUGGUCCUGGACAACACUUUGAAAAAUGCUGGGGCAGAAACAAGCCAGCAAGCAUAUGGGAUUCAUCUGCUGUGAGUGAUAAUUUAUCUAGUUUCUAAAAAUAGUGUUAUAGGCUGGACUGUGUCCCCUUCCUGUGCCCCGCCGCCAUGCAUAUAUGGACGCCUAGUACCUCAGAAUGUGACUGUAUUUGGAAACAGGGCCUUUGAAGAAGUAAUUAAGUUAAAAUGAGGUCAUUAGGGUGGGCAGUAAUACAGUAUAACUGGUGUCCUUAUAAGAAGAGAUUAGGACACAGAUGCACACAGAGGGAAGACCAUAUGAACACAGAGGGAGAAGACAGCCACCUGCAAGCCACAGAGAGAGCCCUUCAAAGAAACCAACCCUGCAGACAAUUUGAUCUCAGGUUUCUGGCCUCCAGAAUUGUGAGAAAAUAAAUUUCUGUUGUUUAAGUCACCCAGUCUGUGGUAUUUUGUUAUGGCGGCGAAGCUAACGAACACAAACAGAAGGCUGAUUUCACUUAAUAAUCAUCUCAGAAGGCAGAGAUUGCUUCAAACUAUUGCAUAAACAAGGCUGGUUUGUGAACCAAAGGACAUGAGCCCCAAACCUGGAGUCGCAGAGGCAGCAUGACA